AUUUUGCACAAACGGCUUAGAAAAAGCUAAGAGUGCUUUUCGGAGCUUAUUAAGUUAAUGUUUGAUCAUCGCGUCAUACCAUGCACGUUCACAUAUUUACCAUGGUGAUUGCCAUCGCGAGUGGUGCGCUUGCAUCCAAUUCAGAGGAAAGCGAAUGGCACUUCUGUCGCAACGGCUACAAUGUUGUCAAAUAUCACGAAAACAACACAAUCGUCGACGAGUACAAGAUGGAGUCCAAGUUGAACCUGCUGUCUAAUCAUCUGUGGACGAAGAUUCUCAUCGACGUGAAUCACUUCGCUAACAUCGGCGGCUGGCACAAUAGACGGAUUGACGUGUGGAAGCGUUGGCAGACCUACUACGGCCAACAGGACAGCACUACAAGCACGAAUUAAAAUGAUUUUGAUUGAAAAUGUAAUACACACACACACUGUCUGCAACAUACGAUAGUUUAUGUGUAAUGAGUACAUGAAUAUACAAUGUACAUAUCA